rnacentral:rRNA from 1 species
UACAGAGGUCUCAAGCGUUUGUUCGGAUUCAUUGGGCGUAAAGGGUGCGUAGGCGGCGCGGUAAGUCGGAUGUGAAAUCUCGGAGCUUAACUCCGAAACUGCAUUCGAUACUGCCGUGCUUGAGGACUGGAGAGGAGACUGGAAUUUACGGUGUAGCGGUGAAAUGCGUAGAUAUCGUAAGGAAGACCAGUGGCGAAGGCGGGUCUCUGGACAGUUCCUGACGCUGAGGCACGAAGGCCAGGGGGAGCAAACGGG